CCUACGGGGGGCAGCAGUGAGGAAUAUUGGUCAAUGGACGAGAGUCUGAACCAGCCAAGUAGCGUGAAGGAUGACUGCCCUAUGGGUUGUAAACUUCUUUUAUAUGGGAAUAAAAUGUUCCACGUGUGGGAUUUUGUAUGUACCAUAUGAAUAAGGAUCGGCUAACUCCGUGCCAGCAGCCGCGGUAAUACGGAGGAUCCGAGCGUUAUCCGUAUUUAUUGGGUUUAAAGGGAGCGUAGGUGGAUUGUUAAGUCAGUUGUGAAAGUUUGCGGCUCAACCGUAAAAUUGCAGUUGAAACUGGCAGUCUUGAGUGCAGUAGAGGUGAGCGGAAUUCGUGGUGUAGCGGUGAAAUGCUUAGAUAUCACGAAGAACUCCGAUUGCGAAGGCAGUUCACUGGACUGCAACUGACACUGAGGCUCGAAAGUGUGGGUAUCAAACAGGAUUAGAUACCCGAGUAGUC
rnacentral:rRNA from 1 species